ACUUUGAAAAGGACGCUUGUUCCUUCGUGAUGGGCGAAUACGAUGCUUGUUUUGAAUGGCCGGUCGGUUCGAGGAAUGAUCGGUUCACGAGCUAGCAUCACGAACCGAGUCACGUUACUCGAGUCGUCCUGGAUACCUUCCGCUAAGAUCUGGAGACCGUAGAGGUCCGCGGCGCGUGCGGAUGCAAUCGCGGCUGUAUCGCGGAGGUUGUUUGCAGCUAUGUAUUCGGCGGCUCCGGCGGUAUCAUCGACGGCUUCGCGAGCUACGUUUAGGCCGAGCUUUGUGAGAGUGAGUUCGC
rnacentral:lncRNA from 1 species